rnacentral:lncRNA from 1 species
CAUCCCUUUGAAAUGUUAACCUUUAUUAGAAAAAAAAUAAUAAUUGGAAUUCAGCUACAAAACAUCAUAUUUCUUUCAGUAAAUUCAUUUAUCCUCAUACAAUUCCCACUUAAACAGUGAAGAAAAAAAAAAGGCUCCCUCCCCAGUUCAGAAAUGAUUAUCUUUUACAAUUUUCGGUUUUUAAGCUCAUCACUUUUAAUAUAAGAAAAAUAGAAAAUCUGGGCAGUUGUUGCAGCCUCCUAAUCCAUAGAUCCUCAAACAUGAACCUUUCCACCCUAACCCCAAGGUUGAAGGCAAUGACCUCAGAUGACCUAAAUAAGAGCAGUAAUCCCAGAAAAGCUUGAUAAUACAACAUAGUAUGGGUAAGAGCAGGAACUAUAGCCAAACUCUCUGUACUUGAAUCACAGUUCUUUUGUUUCCUAGCUGUGUGACCUUGGGAAAGUUACUUGAUCUCUCUGUGCCUCAAUGUCUCCUACAAAAUGAGAAUAACGGUCAUACCCAACUUAUAGGAAUAUUAAAUGCAUUAAUAGUUGUUAAAUACAGCACUGUUUGUUAUCAGAAUGUUUGAUUUUUUUAAAAAAAUUACACCUUACCGGGUCAGUUUGAAAAUAUGAUCUCUCUUUUUCUACUCUACUCCAAGAAAACCACUCUACAUCCUAAGGUAGACAACAUAGACAGAAGAGACAACAUAGAAACAUAGAAAGAAGACAACAUAGAAAGAAGAGAAACAAAACGGUGGGAGAAGAUUUUUUUUUCUGCUCAGAAGAGGGAAGAAUAUGUAUACUUCAAGAAAAGUUACUUGAAAAUAAAGAGAUCCGAAUUCUCUUACCAAGUGAAGCCUCUGACAUACAAGCCUUAGAGUCCAGGAGUCUGGGGCAAACGUUUCUCUGGGAGGAUCUGGAUUCAUGAUAGAAAAAUUGUGUGGACAAUGCUGGUGUCUCAUGAAAUGAUUAAGGUUCUCUGCGUGUGCUGAAAAUUCCUGAGCCGUGACCUGAUUCGGCGAGGCUGACCUGAGCCGUGUGAGAAUUUUGCCGUUCUGUUAAUGACAGUGCAGCACGUUGAAGCUCUAUCUUAAACACAGAAUUUUCAUUUGAGAAGUCAGAAUAACCUUCAACUCCAUGAGACAUGUGCCUAGUUACCAGGACCCGUGGAAGGCCCAUGGACCAGAACAGGUGGGGAGACCCCACGACAAAACUCAUCCACUAUCUGUAGCAGCACUAAGUUAUCCUGGGUGACCCGAAUCAACCACAAUAUUGAAACAGCUGUUUUCCUUGAACCGCUACAUAUUUUCCAAUAGGAGAAUUCAGCUUGUCUUAACAUUCUUAAGUAGAAAGAAAUGCUGUGAUGACAAAUUUACCAUCUUCAGAGUAAUCUACGCAUUAUUUCUUCCAGUAUUA